UCUUUGUUAGCUUGUGCCAUAAAAGCAAAAUAUUACCCACGUGAUUUUAUGCAUGCUAGUUUGAGAGCUUACCCUUCUUACCUAUGGAAGAGUAUCUGGUCUACGAAGGGGUUGUUGCAUAUAGGCCUUUGUUGGCGCGCGGGAACAGGAUCCAAUAUAUGGAUCUUGGAUGAUGUUUGGAUUUCGAGCUUGCCUGAUAGAUGUUUGCAACAAACUGGGGUUAGUUCCCCAUAUUUACUUUUUUCGGAGUUCAUUAGUCAUUAUUCAAGGCAAUAGGACGAGCAAAGACUUACCAGUGUCCUGGGCUGAGCCAUUGCAAAUAGGGUGUUAUGUAUUCCCCUUGCUCAGGAUGCCCAUGAAGACUUCUUAGUUGGGGGGUUGAGCCUUCAGGAAAAUUCUAUGUCUGUAAUGGUUAUAGACUCCUUAUUCUUCGAACUAUUUUGAGACUACAGACUCUUAUAAACUAUUUUACAACAAAUUAUGGUAGUUGUAACUUCCGACAAAAAUCAAAACUAUAGUAUGGCGAAUUUUCAACAAUUUUAUUCCUAACUACUAUAACCUAUAUAACAGAAGAUUGCGGGCAUCCACUAUGUGCCCUUGUGUCUCUGCCGAGACUCUGGAACAUAUUUUUCGCAAUUGCCCUUCGAUUUUGGAUAUUUGGGAGUCCUACACAUUACGUGGCCAAAUGAAUUAUCGGAUGUCUCAUUUCAUGAUUGGCUACUGUAUGUUUUCACUGUGUCUACUGGUGAGGUUAUUUGGGAAAUGGUGUGUACUUUGCGGUUUAUUUGGCAUGCGCGGAAUUGACAGAUUCAUGACAAUGAUAUUAUCCAAAUGCAUUUAAUUGUUCGUAGGGUACAGGUCUAUCUAUUGGAAUAUGACGCGGUAAAUGAGAAGUUACCUGGUUGACUGAUCGGUGUUGAGCGGUGGCGGCCUCCGAAUCUAACAUGUGUAAAAGUGAACUUUGAUGUUGUUUUCCAUGCGUCUGCAAAGACUUCCUGUGCGGGUAUUGUCAUUAGGGAUCAUUUGGGCAUGGUGAUGGGUCCACAAUCAGUGGUCACGUACCUUCGUCUUUUGCUGCAGAGGCCCUGGCUUGCUAUCAUGGAUUCGACUGGUUCUGGGGCUGGGGUUGCAUGAGGCUAUUUUUGAAGGUGAUUCUCUCAUGGCGAUCCGCAAGAUCCUAUCUCCUUAUCAUGAUAUGUCGGCCCUUGGGCCUUACAUCAAAGGUAUCAAUGCAAUGGCUGUGUAGUUUCGUUGGUGUUGAUUCGUGCAUGUUCCCCGAGCUACAAAUCAGGUGGCCCAUCUAUUGGUAGCUGCGAGUCUCCCGGGAGGGGAUCAUGCUUAAUAGGCGGGAGGGGUGCCUCUCUUUGCUUCGACAAUAGUGGAUAAUGAUAGUUGUGCCUUCCGAUCGGAUGAGUGUGGGAGAUGGAGUAUCUUUUUACAAGGAUCUGAUUCGGGGGUGGGGAUUGGAGGUGGGAGGAGCUCAAGAGUUUGUGGAAUCCGCGGGGUUGGGGAAGAGUUUGAUCGUCUCUGUUGGGGUACAGGUUCUCGUUCGUUAAUCAAGCCUCUUGGGUGUGGUAGGUAGUGGUUCGACGAUCUCUUAACGGUUACCGGAGAAGAUUUUCUGAUCUGUCGACAUCAGUGGCGUCCCUUCAGCUUUUUGUUUUCUUUCUAGAAGGUUUAGAUGACAACUCAAAAUUAGGAUUUGGCAUUGCUGUUUUUGCCUUUUGUUUGGGCUGUUUAAUCUGGACUUUUGUUUGGGUUUUUAGGGUUUUUUUUUGGAUUUAUUUUUUUUCUUUGUUUUUGGACUGUUUUCUGUACUAGUUUCGUUUUUAAUCAAAGCCCAGUUUCCUUUAAAAAAAAAUAUUUCAUCAACUAUUUGGUCAUCUUAUUCCUUUCUUAAACUCUCCUUUCUCAUUCGCAAACAGUUGAUUUGAAUUAAAUGUUUGUAUUAAAUUUUCAUUCAUUCAACCACAACUAGAGCAACCCA
rnacentral:lncRNA from 1 species